UACAGAGGGGGCAAGCGUUGUUCGGAAUUACUGGGCGUAAAGGGCGCGUAGGCGGCCUUCUAAGUCGAACGUGAAAUCCCUGGGCUCAACCCAGGAACUGCGUCCGAUACUGGAAGGCUUGAAUCCGGGAGAGGGAUGCGGAAUUCCAGGUGUAGCGGUGAAAUGCGUAGAUAUCGGGAGGAACACCAGUGGCGAAGGCGGCGACCUGGGCCAAUAUUGACGCUGAGGUGCGAAAGCGUGGGGAGCAAACAGGG
rnacentral:rRNA from 1 species